UCAAGAUGGAAAAUUCUUAAGUUCAGUCCAAAGGAACAUAUCUCCUAUAAAAAGAAAAGGCCAGAGAGUUGGGGAAUCAAUGCUACCUGAGAGCAGGCCUCAUCCAACUGAUGAAAACUGGUAUACAAACUCCAAGUCUGUCUGUUUGCAGGCAGUGCUGAUGUGAAGAAGGGAGAGCAUGAAUGGGGAGAGGAC